rnacentral:rRNA from 1 species
UAGGGAAUCUUCGGCAAUGGACGGAAGUCUGACCGAGCAACGCCGCGUGAGUGAAGAAGGUUUUCGGAUCGUAAAGCUCUGUUGUAAGAGAAGAACGAGUGUGAGAGUGGAAAGUUCACACUGUGACGGUAUCUUACCAGAAAGGGACGGCUAACUACGUGCCAGCAGCCGCGGUAAUACGUAGGUCCCGAGCGUUGUCCGGAUUUAUUGGGCGUAAAGCGAGCGCAGGCGGUUAGAUAAGUCUGAAGUUAAAGGCUGUGGCUUAACCAUAGUACGCUUUGGAAACUGUUUAACUUGAGUGCAGAAGGGGAGAGUGGAAUUCCAUGUGUAGCGGUGAAAUGCGUAGAUAUAUGGAGGAACACCGGUGGCGAAAGCGGCUCUCUGGUCUGUAACUGAUACACACGCUCGAAAGCGUGGGGAGCAAACAGGAUUAGAUACACUGGUANUCCCCCCCCUANACGAUGAGUGCUAGGUGUUGGGUCCUUUCCGGGACUCAGUGCCGCAGCUAACGCAUUAAGCACUCCGCCUGGGGAGUACGACCGCANGNUG